UGGGGAAUAUUGCACAAUGGGCGAAAGCCUGAUGCAGCGACGCCGCGUGAGGGAUGACGGCCUUCGGGUUGUAAACCUCUUUCAGUAGGGACGAGGCGCAAGUGACGGUACCUGCAGAAGAAGCACCGGCUAACUACGUGCCAGCAGCCGCGGUAAUACGUAGGGUGCGAGCGUUGUCCGGAAUUACUGGGCGUAAAGAGCUCGUAGGCGGUUUGUCACGUCGUCUGUGAAAUCCUAGGGCUUAACCCUGGACGUGCAGGCGAUACGGGCUGACUUGAGUACUACAGGGGAGACUGGAAUUUCUGGUGUAGCGGUGGAAUGCACAGAUAUCAGGAAGAACACCGAUGGCGAAGGCAGGUCUCUGGGUAGUAACUGACGCUGAGGAGCGAAAGCAUGGGUAGCGAACAGG
rnacentral:rRNA from 1 species